AGGACAUUAAUGAAUUUUAGGACGUUCUUUUUAGAAGUCCGACCCUUUCAUUUUCUUACACCGUGCACACACUUCUUUUUUACACACACUUUUAACACCUUAGUAUAAGAAUGUAAUAGUCUCUUAAUUGAGCAUAAAUAAAAACAAAACUUUCAGCAACGGAUCUCUUGGCUCUCGCAUCGAUGAAGAACGCAGCGAAUUGCGAUAAGUAAUGUGAAUUGCAGAAUUCAGUGAAUCAUCGAAUCUUUGAACGCACCUUGCACUCUUUGGUAUUCCGAAGAGUAUGUCUGUUUGAGUGUCAUGAAACUCUCAACCCCCCUAUUUUGUAAUGAGAUGGGCGUGGGCUUGGAUUAUGGUUGUCUGUUGGCGUAAUUGCCGGCUCAACUGAAAUACACGAGCAACCCUACUGAAAUAAACGGUUUGACUUGGCGUAAUAAUUAUUUCGCUAAGGACGUUUUCUUCAAUUAUAAGAGGUGCUUCUAAUUCGCUUCUAAUAGCAUUUAAGCUUUAGACCUCAAAUCAGUCAGGGCUACCCGCUGAACUUAA
rnacentral:rRNA from 1 species